UACGUAGGGGGCUAGCGUUGUCCGGAAUCAUUGGGCGUAAAGAGCGUGUAGGCGGCCCGGUAAGUCAGCUGUGAAAGUCAAGGGCUCAACCCUUGAACGCCGGUUGAUACUGUCGGGCCUAGAGUCCGGAGGGGAGAGUGGAAUUCCCGGUGGAGCGGUGAAAUGCGUAGAGAUCGGGAAGAAGCCGGCGGCCGAAAGCGACUCUCUGGCGGAAUCGUGACGCUGAGGCGCGAAAGCGUGAGGGAGC
rnacentral:rRNA from 1 species